rnacentral:rRNA from 1 species
AUUGAACGCUGGCGGCAUGCCUUACACAUGCAAGUCGAACGGUAACAGGUCUUCGGAUGCUGACGAGUGGCGAACGGGUGAGUAAUACAUCGGAACGUGCCUAGUAGUGGGGGAUAACUACUCGAAAGAGUGGCUAAUACCGCAUGAGAUCUACGGAUGAAAGCAGGGGAUCGCAAGACCUGGUGCUACUAGAGCGGCCGAUGGCAGAUUAGGUAGUUGGUGGGAUAAAAGCUUACCAAGCCGACGAUCUGUAGCUGGUCUGAGAGGACGAUCAGCCAGACUGGGACUGGGAAACGGCCCAGACUCCUACGGGAGGCAGCAGUGGGGAAUUUUGGACAAUGGGCGCGAGCCUGAUCCAGCAAUGCCGCGUGCAGGAUGAAGGCCUUCGGGUUGUAAACUGCUUUUGUACGGAACGAAAAGCCCCGGGUUAAUACCCUGGGGUCAUGACGGUACCGUAAGAAUAAGCACCGGCUAACUACGUGCCAGCCGCCGCCGUAA